GUGCCAGCAGCCGCGGUAAUACGAGAGGCCCGAGCGUUAUUCGGAAUCACUGGGCUUAAAGGGUGCGUAGGCGGUCAUGUAGGCGUCCUGUGAAAUCCCACGGCUCAACCGUGGAAUUGCGGGGCGAACCACACGACUUGAACCUGGUAGGGGCUGUCGGAACGAUCGGUGGAGCGGUGAAAUGCGUAGAUAUCGAUCGGAACGCCGAAGGUGAAGACGGGCAGCUGGGCCAGUGUUGACGCUGAGGCACGAAAGCGUGGGGAUCAAACAGGAUUAGAUACCCCGGUAGUCC
rnacentral:rRNA from 1 species